CAAUGGCGUAAAUUGAAAGGGUGCGUUGAUGCCCCUGUGUAUCCCGCUGUCCACCUCCUCCUUUACCUCCUUACAGCAGCGGGGAAUUCCACCUAAAAGCCCAGCUCCUCCAUAAUAUACAAUGUGCACUAAAGUGAUAACUCUAAUGCUCUGCCUAGGUAGUGGGGGUGUUCUUUGUGCCUAGGGCACCCUGAAAGUGAAUCUGGUCUGUACGCGGUGUCCAUGGCAGAGCUUGUGGAAGUCCAUGGUGGUUUGGGUGCAUUUAUUCAUACAUGGUCCUACACCUGCUACUGAUAGCUUUAAAGUUGUGAGAAACUGGGCAUAUGAAAAAAAAAUACAUUUUUAUCUAACAGAAUUAUUGCAUGAAAAGUGAUUCUGACAUGAAGUUUG